AGUAUGAAAGUCGGAAAGCUCAUCACUAGGAAACCAAUGAAACUGAAGCGCUUAUGACGAAACAAAAGGGGAAACCACCUAGUCAUAUGGACUCAAGCAAGGAAAAAUCUGAUGUACGCAGCCUAUUUUCUGGCAAAUGCCAUGCUUGUGGUAAAUUUGGGCAUAUGAGUUGCUCAUGUUCUAUGAAGAGAAAAGGAAAAACCCCAAGAGAUAAAAUACUGAACGAAAAAGGAUUGAUGAAACCUGAAACUAGUCUGAUCUGUAUGAUGUCUGAUUUAGACCAAAAUACCUGAGUGUUCGAUACAGCAGCCAC
rnacentral:lncRNA from 1 species